AGGUGUUAUUGACUCUGUUUCAUGUCGGUGCGUUGUUUGUGUUUCGUGUUUAUUUAUUAAUUAAAACACUCACUCCCUGUACUUGUUCCCGACUCUCGGCGCACUCGUUACACCAUCCCCGUAUCCGAGAUGAUUUUGUUUUCAGCACUCCAUCACAACAAUAAGCUUUUGGUUAAUGGAGACAGUAUGCAAGGCCUCACAAAUGACAAGCUGCAAGGUGAGACAGAUGGAGGCUGAUUUCCGCUGGGUGAUGAUUGGAAGUAUAUUGCUCUCAUUUAACAAAGAGAGCAUCACUUAUCUAAACAGAGCCCACAGCAUAGUUUCCUUGGAGGAAAAAGAAGAUUGCAAAGACUUCACAGUGCUCCAUCUGUGCUCUGCCCACAUCCUUAAGGCUGUCGCCCAGGGAUUUGGGAAGAAAACAAAUGACAAUGGGCUCAGAGUAUACAACUUUUUUCUGUGACUUGUUGCCCAACAGCACCUCUUCGAGGCACUGUGCUUUUCAAAUCACAACAUAAAAGUAAUCUUGUGGAUAAAUCACAAAAGUAUUUAGAUGAGAGUAUUAUGAAGUCAGAGAAGGUGAAAGUGGAGGAUGUGAUGUGACAGUUAUGAAGAAAGUGCAAUGUCCGCAAAAAACAAAACAUGUGGCCAAUCUCCCUUCACAAGUGAAUUCAUGUCAGUCGUUAAUCAUUCGCAGAGUCUUCUGGAGGAGACCCAGACAGUGCCUGAAAAUAUGUUUUUCUGCCCUGAGAUAAUCAAUAUUCUAAUGGACACUUACAUGGCCAUUUUCUGCUGGGUGACCUUACAAGAUAUUGUAAUGUGACCAACACAACAUCGCAAUCAGUGAAAUCACGGAACACCAACUGCUAUGUGGAACAGUGGUUCUGGAUCAAGAAGCAUUCCAUUUUGCAAAAGAAGAAAUUCCUCUGUCCAGCUCAAUUAAUUUUGAAAAUGCUUCACAUAAUAAAGCAUGACCUGCCAGAAUCACAGUUCACAAAAUCUGUCUACCGCAAGAAGUCGUUGGACCAGGAAGUGGAGCACUGGGCCAAGAGGACAAGAAAUGACUCAAUUGACAAGUCCAGGUCAAAGUAUUUCCAGCCUCCCAGACAAUUACCUGAGCCAAAGAAGAAAGAUGAAAGCAGGGAUGAAGCAACAUUACUUCAAGACAACGAGGCUGCAGGCCAGGCCAAGACAACGAGGCUGCAGGCCAGGCCAAGACAACGAGGCUCCAGGCCAGAAGAGUGGUGAAGAAAGAAUUGUGGCGAAGAAAGAAUUGUGAGAUGGUGGUUGCUGUUGUGAGGUCAACAAACACAAAGUCCUCUUUCACUGUAAAAAAAAAAGGGUUUUGCAAUUAAGUCAAAAUAACUUAUUUAAUCUAUUGAAGCCAACUAAAUGUGCAAAAUGUGUUUGUUGACAUCAAUUCAACAAAAGCUGUGAAAAUAAAAAAUCUAGUUCAGUUAGCAAAGAACAAUCUGCACAGUCAACAUUCAAAUCAGGACUAAUAAGUCAAACUAAAAUAAAGAUCCUAGUUGUGCUGCCGAAAAAUGGCACGUUAUAAUAACUACAAGUCAUUGCAUUGUCUUAACUUACAAAAUCAAGUUGAAUCAGCAAUAAACCGUGUUCACUCAACUUUCAAAUUAGAUCCAAUAAGUCAAAUUAACAAAAUAAAGACAACAGUUGUUUUGACUUUAAAUGUCAAGUUAGUAUAACUACAAAUCUUGACAUGAACUUUACUUACAAAAUAAAGUUAAAUCAGCUAAGACCUGUGUGUUAAUUUAACUUUCAAGUCAGAACCAAGAAGUCAAAUCAGUGGUCUGUGCAACUGCCUCCAGUGCACAUGUACUGUUGUGUGGUUUUGAGUCUGAACUUCUUAAUUAUUGCCCUAAUACUGUACCUAUUGUUUAAUAGUGGAAACCAUUUUAUGAUGACCCAAUGUCAGCUGACAAUGUGGACGUUGCCCUUGUGAUAGAAGAGCAGGUGACAUGAGCUUCACAAUGUCCCAAAUGCCUUUGCCACUUUGUUUGGACUUCUUUAAUGUCUGAACACCCAAAACAUUUGAGUUACACUUUUGAGGUAGUUCAGAAAAUAUUCUUGAAGACAGGUGCAGAAAACUGUCCAGCAAAAGUGCAUGGACUGAAGAACCGUCUUCUUUGUUAAGACAAAUUGGUGUGCUUUUGUUUUACUCGCGGUAGUUGAGUUAAUUCCUCCUCCUCCUCCGAUGCUGUUAUUUGCCUAAAUCUUACAAAUCUCAGUUUUGGGAAGACUUAAGUUACUCUAUUUUUACGUGUGACCUUCAGUCUACAAACUACAACCGUCUUUUGUUAGAGACCAUUGAUUUGCUAUCAUCUCUUUCCAUUAACUACAGUGCAUUCUGAAAAUGUUUACAACAUAUACAAAAUAUAAACAAUCACACUCAACACCUUGUCUUAGAAACCAUUGUGAAGGUUGUCUGUGACUGUACAUGGGUUUAUUUAUUUAUCACACUCAACACCUUGUCUUAGAAACCAUUGUGAAGGUUGUCUGUGCUCAGUGUUUGAAUUUUUAUUUACCCUGCCAUAAAGUCAUGUUUUAAUGGUGCCAUUUACAAAUGUACAUGGGUUUAUUUAUUUAUCACACUCAACACCUUGUCUUAGAAACCAUUGUGAAGGUUGUCUGUGCUCAGUGUUUGAAUUUUUAUUUACCCUGCCAUAAAGUCAUGUUUUAAUGGUGCCAUUUACAAAUGUACAUGGGUUUAUUUAUUUAUCACACUCAACACCUUGUCUUAGAAACCAUUGUGAAGGUUGUCUGUGCUCAGUGUUUGAAUUUUUAUUUACCCUGCCAUAAAGUCAUGUUUUAAUGGUGCCA